CAACUUUGGUCUUAUCUACCCAACCGAUAGGAUAUCCUUUCUUCUUCUUUCUCUUUCUUCUUUUCUUCUUUUCCUUUCUUUUCACUGUUCUUAUUUUCUGGCGAAAUUGAGAAAUCAAAACAGAAGAUUCGUGAUCAGUAGAAGGUGGAGAAGAUCAUGGGAUAGUUUAUGAUGAUGUUUUGGUUGUCUGUAGUUGAUUCAUAUUCGAGAGAAGAGGUGAAUUAGAGAAAGAGAAACUAGGGUUUCUGAAGAUGGAAUCGAAUGAGGAUUUUUGUGAUUCUGAGAAAAAAAUUAAGUAUGGUGAUGGGUAUUAUGAUUUGAGAGUUAUGAAGAGAAUUUUGCAGUUAAUUCUAUAAUUUCAGUGAAGAAACUAGGGUUUCUGCAUGUUGUAUUUGAGUUUGAAUUGGGCAAAUAUUAAGAAGAGUUAGAUGGAACUAUAAGAUGGGUUUGAUUAAUUGAAAGGUUUGAUUGAUGUCUUGAGAUUGAAUGUGAUAUUGAAGAUAGUUUAGGUUCAUGUGUUCUUCCCCAAAUUGAAAUUAGGUUUGAGUAGAAUUGAUGAUGAAUUAGAGUAAUCGAUAGAUGAAGCACAAGGGGGUAGCCCGGUUGAAUUGAUGUUGUGUAGUUGUUUUAGAGGAUAAUCAAAGAGUUAGGGUUUUCCCUGUGAAUUGAUGAUGAUUUGGUUGGAAUUUGAUUAGUUGGCUGAGAACUGUUGGUGAUGAUGGGACUGAUUUGGUAUUGGGGGAACUGAGUUGGUGAAUUGUUGUAUCCUUAAGAAGAAUAGAAGAAUCCAGUUAAGCAAGAAGAGAAGUUGAAUUGUAUUUGCUGGAAUUGGAAUGUGUUAGGUUGAUAUAGAAACUGGGGUUUGUGAACUAGUGUUAAUGCGAAAUUGCAGAUGAUGAAUACGAGUUAAUUGGUGGUAUGUACAUGUUGAUCAGAAUUGUAGAGUUUAGUUACAUAGUGGUGGUUCUGAGGUUGUUGGUGAGUUACAAGGAAUUGUUGGAAGUUGAAUUGAGUUACAGAGCUGCAGAUACAGUCCAGAGUUGGUGGUGGUAUUGUAAUAGAGAUGCAAGUGAAGUUGUUAGUGGCUCGGAUGUGUUUUAAGAGGAAUUAGAAUUAACUGGUUGGUGUUGUGCUGUAUUUCAAAUGAUGGUGUAUUACUGUGAUUGGGUCUGGAGUAUUAGUGUGCAAUUGAGUUUGGUUGAAACUGACAAUGUAAGUCGGUGAAUAUGUUAUAGGGUUAUGAGAGCUGAUUGAACUAGAAUUGAAUUACAGUUGAGGGAUUUAUGUAUGAGAUGUAGAAGUUGAUGUUUAGUGUGGAGUUGAAUGCAAGUUAUGAAUUGCCCGUGGGUUAAAGAUGUUGCUUGGAACUGCAUUGGCAGAGACAGAUCAGAGUUGCGCAGCGAAAGCUUCAAGGGUUGUUUCCGUUAAUUGGUUAACUUCAGAUAUGUUUAUUAUGUUGCAUAUUAUAUUUGUAAACCAAAUAACUAUUGUAUAUGUAUCAUCUGAGAGGAAUUUUUGUAUAUCUGUUUCAGAGCGGGGGUAGUUUUGGGUUAAGUUUUAUAGCAGAUUUCCUAAUUGAAUUUUUAAGUAAAUGAUUUAAAUUGUUAGUGCCUUUUUAUUUAGUUAAUCACUUGGAUUAGUCAACUACUAGUUUUGGAGGCGUUACAUUA